ACAAGCAGAGAAUAUAAGGAUAGUAGUGGAGUGAGAAACGUCCCUGCUCAAGCUGUGAAGCCCCUUCCCCAAAUCAAUCCCUCCCAGAGCCCGCAGCCUGUCGUCGGAGCCAAGAGGACAGCCUGCUGGUUCAUAAAAUUGAGAACGGCUCUUCUGUUCCUCAGAGUCCUCAGAGUUCGGUCUAAACUGGUCUCCUCCAUCAGAAACGGACCAGCUGGGAGCGGCUACAACAGGUAAGGGCCAGAGUGACUGAAGGCCAAAGUGUCAUCCAAGGGAACGGGGAGUGACUUAGACCACAUGG